GAUGAACGCUGGCGGCGUGCCUAAUACAUGCAAGUCGAGCGAACGGACGAGAAGCUUGCUUCUCUGAUGUUAGCGGCGGACGGGUGAGUAACACGUGGAUAACCUACCUAUAAGACUGGGAUAACUUCGGGAAACCGGAGCUAAUACCGGAUAAUAUUUUGAACCGCAUGGUUCAAAAGUGAAAGACGGUCUUGCUGUCACUUAUAGAUGGAUCCGCGCUGCAUUAGCUAGUUGGUAAGGUAACGGCUUACCAAGGCAACGAUGCAUAGCCGACCUGAGAGGGUGAUCGGCCACACCGGAACUGAGACCCGGUCCAGACUCCUACGGGAGGCAGCCGUAGGGAAUCUUCCGAAAUGGGCGGAAGCCUGAAGGAGCAAAGCCGCGUGAGGGAUGAAGGUCUUCGGAUCGGAAAACUCUGUUAUUAGGGAAGAACAUAUGUGUAAGUAACUGUGAACAUCUUGACGGUACCUAAUCAGAAAGCCACGGCUAACUACGUG
rnacentral:rRNA from 1 species